GGUGGGGUGGCAGAGCGGCCAUGCGUUCGCCUGCAGAGCGGAUUUAUAGGGGUUCGAAUCCCCUCCCCACCU
rnacentral:tRNA from 1 species